UCUUCGCGCCUCUUCCGCGCGUCGUUCCGUUUCGACCGCCGCUUGUUCAUCGUCACUGCUUCCUGUUUAUAUGGGAAGUAGAGACAUGAAUGCUAUUCUAACCAAUGGUUCAAAGGUGCUUCUUAAGGGAAUGAAUUACACUGAGCUU